rnacentral:lncRNA from 1 species
GGGAGGGUUACCCUCUAGUUCUAUAUACUGUAAAUCCCUCUACUUCCCCUGGAGAUUUCCAGUGCUGCUUGGUGAAGAACUUGCUCUUCCCCUGUCCUUCUAGCUGGUCUUCUGGGAGAGGGGCUGCUGUGCUGAUUCUCAGGUGUGUGCACCUGGGGGAGCUGCCCCACACCCUGCCAGGUGCACGGCUCAGUGAGAGCUGGUUACCCUGUGAGGCCUCCGUUCCCUGGCGGCCCCGCCCCUCCCAGGCACAAGGUGAAACAAGAAGGAACACUGGUGGUGGCCAGGUCUCCAGCUCUGGAGUCAGCUCCCGCAGGAACUACCACAGCUCCCAGUCUGCACUGGCCUGGAUGCUCUGGGGCGUGUGUGUGUGCUGAUCUGCACAGCUCGGGGCCACCUGGUGGCAGGAGCGUCCUGGCUGUCCUGUACCCUCCCGCCUCCGCCUGUCCCGGGGGGAGGGCAGGAUCCUGGGCUGUGUCCCCCGUGCCCUGGGAUCCUGGGCCUGCGCUGCUGGAAUUGCGCUCCCACGGCCACAGCUCUAGAAAGCAGCAGGGCGCAGCCCCUUCCCCCCCCCCUGACCCCCGGCUUCUCCCCGAGGCCCUGCCGGGCGCUCUCCCCCGGGCACCCUCCCCCGGGCACCUCUUGUGUUAGUGACCCCAGGAUACUGGAGGCUCCACUGCCCCUUCUGCGAGCCUGCCCAAGUUCCCCGCUGAGCGCUUUUCUGUCUGGGAAGAAUCCGGUGCAAAUUUUUAAAGUUCCUGCUUCUGCCGGGCUGGGCUUUCCUAUCUGGAGACUUUCAUCUCGGGCUCCUCAUGGGGCCCCUCCCCAACUUGAUUUUUUUAUUUUUUUCCCACCUUCCUACCUUGUUAAAAGCAAAAACCCUUCUCUCUGUAGCGUUCCAGCUGUUCUCUCUUUAAAUCUCAGGUCAAAUUCGUAGGUGUUCUGGAUAUUCAGUUAAGUUGGUGGAGACAGGUGACUUGGGGACCCUACUCCUCCCCAUCUUGCCCUGCG